rnacentral:rRNA from 1 species
GAUGAACGCUAGCGGCAGGCUUAAUACAUGCAAGUCAGGGGGGCAGCAAUGUCACCGGCGUACGGGUGCGUAACGCGUACACAACGUGCCCUUGAGCGGGGGAUAGCAUUGGGAAACUGGUGGUAAAACCCCAUGGUGUUGUGUUUGGGCAUCUAGACACAACUAAAGGAUACACUCAAGGAUCGGUGUGCGUCUGAUUAGGUAGUUGGCGGGGUAACGGCCCACCAAGCCGACGAUCAGUAGGGGGUGUGAGAGCAUGACCCCCCACAUGGGUACUGAGACACGGACCCAACUCCUACGGGAGGCAGCAGUAAGGAAUAUUGGACAAUGGUCGGAAGACUGAUCCAGCCAUGCCGCGUGAAGGAAGAAGGCGCUCAGUGUUGUAAACUUCUUUUGGACGGGGACAAACCACUCGAUGCGUCGGGUGCUGAGGGUACCGUCAGAAUAAGCACCGGCUAACUCCGUGCCAGCAGCCGCGGUAAUACGGAGGGUGCAAGCGUUAUCCGGAAUCACUGGGUUUAAAGGGUGCGUAGGCGGUUCGAUAAGUCAGUCGUGAAAUCGCUGGGCUUAACCCAUGCAAUUGCGAUUGAUACUGUCUGACUUGAAUCAGGUUGAGGUAGGCGGAAUGUGGCAUGUAGCGGUGAAAUGCAUA